UUACUUACAUACAGAAGUUCACACAUAUACAUACAAUGCCUUAGAACCAUGUGGGCGUUGCUUUGCUGUGUUUUGUGUGAACUGUCUCUCAAUAAAAGGCAGCGAGAGGAGGCCAUCGUCGGGGUCAUUCGUGAUGAGCUAAGAUACCGACGAGGCCUCCCUUGCGCAUGUAAACGAUCGAACGCUGUUGCCUUGUUUUCCUUUCACAGGAAGAAGUCCUGGAUACAGCGGGGUCUGAGUUUAGACCCAACAUUUAUUUGGUCCUUCGAGCUGGAUCCUAACACAUCGCAUUCACCGAGGAGAGGGAGAGGACGCCACCGCAGUCUGCUAGCAGCCAUCGUCUGGGACGAUUGACGAAAGCCCUGUUACUUUGCUUUGUUCCAGGCCGGACAGUUUGCGCCUGAACUCCCCUCGGGAUGGAUGGCGAUUGACGGGAACCAGAGACUCUUCCCAUGAACGGAAACAACACGAACAAUGUCGUGAGGUGCCAUGACGAGAGAAGUGACUGAGAGGAUCGUCCACAAGAUGGAAGCUGAAGCCUGGAGAGUCUUCAGGAGGAUCAGAGAUCACCUUCAGCACAGAGAGCUGUGCUACUGGGCUUCCAGGAGAUCAUCAUGAGGAGACUCUGCACAGCAAAAUCUUAAAUGAGAUAAAAGAGUUUUGACGUUGACGUUGAGGAAGACAGCUAAGGUGUACAACGUGCUCUGCCUUUAAAAUCUUCAGCAACGUUGACUCAUGAGAACCUGAGGGAGCGUGCCAAGCUCCAAAAAGUGACGGCGCAGAGGAGGUCCAGCGAUGGACUUGUGGUUCUGUGAACAGCACAAAUGCCAGGUGACUGUGAAAAACCUAACAGCACUUUUUCCACAAGUGAAGCCAGUAACUUACUAUCCUAACAGAUUAGCUCUAGUUGCUUGUGCUUUACCUCCAUGCGUGAGAUCAGUAUGUGCAGCAGCUUAAGCUGUACAAUGUUUCAGGAUAUAGUUUUUCACCUUUUGACACUGUUAGUUCCACACGAGGUAGAUGUCUACUACUGCAGACUAAAAUUACAUUUCUGUCACCUACAAGACGCUUGUCUUUAAUGUUACUGUUACUCUCAUAACCACAUAUUACUAUAAAGUGGUGCACAAUUCUGAAUCCGUCAAACCUUUUGCCAACGAAAGAAGAGGGCACUCCUCAUGAGUGUAGAGACCACGUAGAGAAGGAGUGUAAGCCGAGGGAUGACUUAAUAGCUGUGCCACUUGUUGAGGGAAAGGUUUGGUUUGUUGAUGGUUCGAGUUUUAUAACAGCAGAGGGACAGACUAAAACAGGUUAUGCUGUAGAAGAUAGUGAGAAAGUUAUCUGUGCAGGACAACUAACGUUUCAUAUUUGCUUGAGUAGCAGGGAUAGUAGGUUUAACAGAAGUGUGUAAAGCUGCAGAGAAAUAAGAUGUGACAAUAUACACUGAUAGCCAGUAUGCAUUUGCUACAUUACAUUUCUUUGAAGUGCAGUGGGUGAGACGAGGUGUGACAGCCUCCACAGGGAAACCUGUAGAACACGCCAAACUCUUGCAAAAUCUGCUGGAGGCAGAGUUUUUACCCAGUAGGAUUGGCGUUUGCAAAUGUGUAGCACGCAUGUGAGGGAAAGAUCCAGUUGCAUUAGAGAAUGUUUUUGCAGAUAAGAUCGCGAAAGAGGCAACUUUAGGAGAACAUGGUGUUAACGUUUUAGCAGUGCAACACCAACAGACGUUGGCUAUUAUGCGGGAUGCACUGGUAGACAUGCAGGGCCACUCAUCUACUGCAGGGAAACAGUUGUGAUUUACAGUAGGAGCGAGCCUGUAGGAUGGUGUUUGUUAUCUGUGUGAUAAACCAAUACUGCCUUAGACUUUAUAUAGGACUGCUGCUAUUUUGCGCCAUGGGCUUUGCCAUGUCGCAACAGGAGGGAGAUAAUGAGUAGUUUAUACUUUAAGAUUAAAUACCCUUAAAAAAAACUUUUUGCAGGUCAUGUAUGAUAUGUUGCAAGCACAAUUCUCAGGGUAAUUUGAGACCUAAGAGAGGGAAAUUCCCCAGACCCAGUCACCCAUUUCAAGUUAUUCACAUGGACUAUAGAACUGUCCAACUGUAAUAACUAUGAGUAUUGUUUAGUGAUAGUGUGCCCUUUUUCAAAGUGGGUAGAAAUUGUCCCAACUAGGGAAGCAGAUGCCAUUUCAGUUGCCAAAGCAAUAUGUAAGAAUAUCAUUUGGAACAUGGGAUUCCCGAGACCAUUUAUAGUGAUAAUGGUCCACAUUUUGUAAAUGAAGUGAUUAGAUUAAUGGCACAACAUCUAGGGAUAACACUAAAACAUCAUUGUUUAUAUCACCCGCAAAGUGCAGGGUUGAUAGAGAGAACUAAUGGGACAGUAAAGCUAAGACUUAGAGAGACACGCAUGACAUGGUUAAACUGUAUAGAAUUAGUUAGGAGGUAUACGAAUGUACAUGAGGAUUACUCCAACAGAGAAUGGUCUGACUCGUUGAGAUUAUAUAUGUUAGAGCAUUUAGAGUUCUAGUCUUCUGUAGUGAUGAUAGGAGAGCAGAAGAGAGAGCAUAUUAGCAGAUUGGAUGCUUAAAAUGUGUAAAAAUAAAGAAGUCUUGAGAACAAAUGAUCUGCCAGAUGAUUCUGUUUCUCCACAGGAGCAGAGUCUGAAGUCUGGAGAUUGGAUGUUGAUAAGGCCAUGGAGAGGAAGUGCUGGUCCAGUCCACGGUGGGAAGGUCCAUAUCGGAUGCUUCUGACGACGCCCACAGCAGUGAAGAUUGCUGAAAGGAUUACUUGGAUACAUCAAGCGCACUGCAAGAAGGUGACACACAUCCAGGCCAGCUCGGGGUAAGUGGCAGGAAGACCGGGUACAAAGGGGGGGGAAAGCCUCCAGGGCCCUCGUCUCAAUCCGGUGAAGAAACCAACUGAGCCACAGGUACUCAUCAGAUGGCUGGGAAUGUGCUGUGCGCCUUCUUGUGCCUGUGGACCCAGAGUGGGAUGACAGGAGCGCACUGGGACAGAGCAAACCACACCCAGUACCCACAUGGGGUUUUCAACAACUACUGGUGGCAGUUUGUGAACACAACCGCUCACAUAAAGAACGAGACCAAUGGUUAUGCUUGUGAUGCCACUGGCUACACAUUCUUCUGGACUGUGGCCAUAUAGCAUCACUGAGAGUGAGACAGUUUGUUUGGUUGCCUUGGCAACACAUCCAGGAGUAAACAUACUUGGAACACUGCCAACUUUUCAACUUCUGAACCUGACUGGACGGUUGAUUCACCAGUAGCUGGGAA